rnacentral:rRNA from 2 species
UAGCGGCGGACGGGUGAGUAACACGUGGGUAACCUACCUAUAAGACUGGGAUAACUCCGGGAAACCGGGGCUAAUACCGGAUAAUAUAUUGAACCGCAUGUUUCAAUGUUGAAAGACGGUUUCGGCUGUCACUUAUAGAUGGACCCGCGCCGUAUUAGCUAGUUGGUAAGGUAACGGCUUACCAAGGCAACGAUACGUAGCCGACCUGAGAGGGUGAUCGGCCACACUGGAACUGAGCCACGAUCAAACUCUUCUACGGGAGGCAGCAGUAGGGAAUCUUCCGCAAUGGGCGAAAGCCUGACGGAGCAACGCCGCGUGAGUGAUGAAGGUCUUAGGAUCGUAAAACUCUGUUGUUAGGGAAGAACAAAUUUGUUAGUAACUGAACAAGUCUUGACGGUACCUAACCAGAAAGCCACGGCUAACUACGUGCCAGCAGCCGCGGUAAUACGUAGGUGGCAAGCGUUAUCCGGGAAUUAUUGGGGCGUAAAGCGCGCGUAGGCGGUUUCUUAAGUCUGAUGUGAAAGCCCACGGCUCAACCGUGGAGGGUCAUUGGGAAACUGGGGAACUUGAGUGCAGAAGAGGAGAGUGGAAUUCCAUGUGUAGCGGUGAAAUGCGCAGAGAUAUGGAGGAACACCAGUGGCGAAGGCGGCUCUCUGGUCUGUAACUGACGCUGAUGUGCGAAAG